GCACAGCAGGUUGCAACUGGAUCAGCUCAAAGAGGUGAGAUGGCUGACAAUUAAGAAAACAGAGUUCAGUGAGGAAGAGACGGCUUGGUCUUCAACAGGAUGCCAGGAUCACAUUUUUAACACACCGUUUAAAGGGCUUUCUUGUCCGCAGCUGAACAUCCAGCAUACCACACAGAGAUGGAGAAUGACAGCACGCUCUCGAUGGUCGCCCGGUAGAAGGACACCAGCAGCUUCUUGUUCAGUCUGUUCCUCCGAAGCACCCUCAUGAAGUGCAGUCGCUGCUGGGCCUUUUUAACUGCUGCAGUGGUGUGUGCAGCUGAGGCUCUCCGAAAUUUGAACCCCGAGGAACUUAAAGGUGGGGACCCUCUCCACUCUCUCUCCAUUGAGUCUUGACCCCUUGAUGCAUCUCUUCAAGACAAGUUACUGGGCAAACACCAAACUGCAAGAUGAAAACUAUUGUCAUUGAUUGGAUGCCACAUCUCUGCCUAUUUGCAGAGACAACUCCCCAGAAGAAGAAAUAACCUGCAGUUACGGGGAUGCUGACUGGCCUUUGCGCAAACAGGUACAUUUACACAUAUAACUCAACAAUAACACGUGAUUCAACACAUUUUAUUGUUUCCGU